UGAAAUGUUGGGUUAAGUCCCGCAACGAGCGCAACCCUUAUCCUUUGUUGCCAGCGGUCCGGCCGGGAACUCAAAGGAGACUGCCAGUGAUAAACUGGAGGAAGGUGGGGAUGACGUCAAGUCAUCAUGGCCCUUACGACCAGGGCUACACACGUGCUACAAUGGCGCAUACAAAGAGAAGCGACCUCGCGAGAGCAAGCGGACCUCAUAAAGUGCGUCGUAGUCCGGAUUGGAGUCUGCAACUCGACUCCAUGAAGUCGGAAUCGCUAGUAAUCGUGGAUCAGAAUGCCACGGUGAAUACGUUCCCGGGCCUUGUACACACCGCCCGUCACACCAUGGGAGUGGGUUGCAAAAGAAGUAGGUAGCUUAACCUUCGGGAGGGCGCUUACCACUUUGUGAUUCAUGACUGGGGUGAAGUCGUAACAAGGUAACCGUAGGGGAACCUGCGGUUGGAUCACCUCCUUACCUUAAAGAAGC
rnacentral:rRNA from 2 species